rnacentral:lncRNA from 1 species
CCAAACCAAAAAAGACCUCAACGAGCCAGAAGCCCCUGAGGAAGGCCAAAGACAAGCAGGUGGCGUCGGGCCAGGCCGCCAAGAAAAAGACCACAGAGAGCCCCAGUGCCACCAAACCUGACGACAAGGAGCAAAGCAAAGAGAUGAACAAUAAACUGGCUGAGGCGAAAGAGUAAAUGUCCCCGCACUUUCCUUUUCUCCCCUCCCCACCCCUAUGUUUAAACCAACAAACAAAAAAAGGCCACAAAACUAAUUAGAGACUUCCCAUCUGCCUUGGUUCCAAGUGUCCCAGGAGCCCUGCAGUUGGUUUCUUAUGGGAGAAAUCAUGUUUCUGAGGCCACUGACUCUUACUACAAGUGGCACAGCAUCUAGCCAAGGUCCCCCAGGAGGCCAGGAAGCAGUGUGCACUGGUUGUGCCCUUCCUGUGGGUCUGGGUUGGGUCAGGUCUUAGUUCUGCCAAGCCUAGCUCCUGGUGGGACUUGGAGGAGUUUCAAGCCCUCUUCCCCCUAGCUUCCCCCCUUCCCCAGUUUGCAUCACGCCAUUUUGGACUUUAGGCAAAUUUUCUUUCCCAAGUUCACUGGAUGCUUGCAUGCUGCCCAAGUUCAGCUUGGGUUUCAGCCGUUAGAACUUGUGGAAAUGGUAAAGACAAUAGAACAAGAAACCAACCUUGGCCUUACUGUCAGUGAAAUGGAAUUGUGUCUGUUAACUAGAAGAAACCCUCUCCUGGAACCUCUGUUAGGAGUGUGUGCCUGUGUUUUGUGCCUAUCGGUGGGCUUUGAAUAGUGUGUCAAGUAAUAGGCCACUGGCUGAGGCCAGCCAGAAGUGACAGAGUAUUGGGAUGCUGUAGAUGGUGUAGGAGGCGCUCUGAGCAUUGGGAGCCCGCUUUUCUCUGCCCUUAGCUUACUGCUGAUGUGCCGAACGGCUGUUAAGAGAGAAUGGUCAGGUGCGAGACGGCACGCAGCACACUUACUAGGACUUUCUGUCCCUGCGGUGUGCAGGUGGAGUGUGUAAACAUGACGGCGAGUGUGGUAAUGCACCCUCCAGCCCCCGAGCUCUUGCUCUGCUCCACAGAGAGGCCCGUGUGCUGAGCAUCUGGCCGGAGUGCGAGGCGAGUCCUGCCAAGAGCUUAGCAAGCGUCCUUGACUUCCCAUGCUAAGAAACGGCUCUUGAUGCACUCCAUGUUGCAAUGUCGCCCGGGUGUGGCCAAAACCCCCUAGAGUUGUGUUGUAGGACUUAGGGAAUGGUUGUGAAAGGGAUCUGCCUUCCUUACUUAUGAGAGAACCCAAACUGUCCACCAGAAAUGUCCUGGUGAAAUGGACGUGGCUCCUGUCCUGGAGGUUCUCCUUGCUGUGUUCUGAGUAGCUGAGAUGGUGUAACCCAGCUUGCUUUCUCCUGUGGUGAGUGGUUCAGAGGGCAGGGCUGGCGGCUCCUCGGUCUCUUCAGGUCCCUGCAGUUUGGGAAGGUGGAGCUCUCAAGAGCCAACUUAGUCUGUCUGUGCAGACAGAGAAGGUUUUGUUUGCACCUUGUGGGCCUGCUUGAGACAUGUUUGGAAAUGAAUGCACCAGCGCUGGGCGAGCCUUUGUUUUGAACAGAGCAGACUAGAAAUGAAGCCCACAGCAUAACCUGAUGCCAUUUUCUGACUCAGGGCAUGGACUGUGAGGGAGACAGGCUAGAGAAGGGAGGAGACAUUGAUGAGUCUCGUUACCACAACUCACAGGUUUCACAGGCCUGUUCAGAAAUGCCUAGAGCUCAGUACUGUUCCUGGCUACCUGUUAGCCAGCCUUACUGUUUACCAGAGAACUCUAUCAAGUGCUCCAACUGUAGCUGCCAGUGCGUGUCCUCUCAAUCCCCGGCGACAGUCAGAUCUGCUGUUAGCCACACUUUGAUUUCCCUGUAGAAUAACCCUAUGUUUUGUAGAUCGAGUAAGUCAGAGUUUACAGUGCACAGGGAUCCUUCAUUCAGUGUUCAUGUUCUGCAUAUCCUGUGGCAGGCUUGGUGAGCAGACAGGUCUCUAUAGCAUCAGACAGAGGUGCAUGACCACCCACCCCACAUGUGCUGUGACUGAGUUGAGUUGGUGUUGUGUGCACUGUAGUUUGCCAUAGCUUACCACAAGGGCCUCCAGAGCCUUAGGGGCUGAAUUCCUUACCCUGCCCUGCCUGAGGCUUUAGGUGACCUGGAAAAUGUUCUUUUCAGGCUGUCAGGGUCCCCCUCUUCUUCACACACCCACCCACGAACACUGUUAGCUCUUGAAUGCUUUACUCCACGGACAAGAAACGUCCUUUGAUUUCUACUGUUUACAAACAAAGCUCUCCCAGUCUUGUUGUCUCCCAAGUGUACUGGGCAAAACUGACCAUGGCUCCUCAAGCAGUGUUUGGUGUUGCCUCUCUGCAGGUGACCAAGCCUGUUCCUCAUUUUGUACAUUUCCCUCUGUUCUCUGUUCACCCGGGGGCAAGACAGCUGGAACGGAGGCAUUUUUUUUUUAAACUUGGCCUGCCUGCAAAGCUCCGGAAGCUGUGCCCAGCUUUCUGUUCUCUGCCGCAGCUCCCAGACAGCAGGAGAAGCUGGGUCACGCAGAGGCAGAGAGGAAGUGUCUAAUUAGGAUUGUGUGGCCCGGGUUUUGUUGCAUACCACAGAUUGUCUAUGUAUCAUGUAGUGCUCCCCCCUCUUGGUGCUAUUUCAUUCCUGAUGUUAGUAAAAGAAUGACAAGAAACGAUUCAUGUGUAGCCAACUGAUUGUGACGUCUCGUGGUCUGUGCUUGCUCAGAAAGCAAACCAACAGGUUCCCCCCACCCCCCAGUUAUAAAUAAAUGCUAAAGACGAACACC